AGAGUUUGUAGUCAUGGCGUCAGAUUGUAACGACUGGCGGCAGGCCUAACACAUGCAAGUCGAACGGUAGCACAGAGAGCUUGCUCUUGGGUGACGAGUGGCGGACGGGUGAGUAAUGUCUGGGAAACUGCCCGAUGGAGGGGGAUAACUACUGGAAACGGUAGCUAAUACCGCAUAACGUCGCAAGACCAAAGUGGGGGACCUUCGGGCCUCACACCAUCGGAUGUGCCCAGAUGGGAUUAGCUAGUUGGUGAGGUAAUGGCUCACCAAGGCGACGAUCCCUAGCUGGUCUGAGAGGAUGACCAGCCACACUGGAACUGAGACACGGUCCAGACUCCUACGGGAGGCAGCA
rnacentral:rRNA from 1 species